rnacentral:rRNA from 1 species
GACGAACGCUGGCGGCGUGCCUAAUACAUGCAAGUAGAACGCUGAAGGAGGAGCUUGCUUCUCUGGAUGAGUUGCGAACGGGUGAGUAACGCGUAGGUAACCUGCCUGGUAGCGGGGGAUAACUAUUGGAAACGAUAGCUAAUACCGCAUAAUAGUAGAUGUUGCAUGACAUUUGCUUAAAAGGUGCAAUUGCAUCACUACCAGAUGGACCUGCGUUGUAUUAGCUAGUUGGUGGGGUAACGGCUCACCAAGGCGACGAUACAUAGCCGACCUGAGAGGGUGAUCGGCCACACUGGGACUGAGACACGGCCCAGACUCCUACGGGAGGCAGCAGUAGGGAAUCUUCGGCAAUGGACGGAAGUCUGACCGAGCAACGCCGCGUGAGUGAAGAAGGUUUUCGGAUCGUAAAGCUCUGUUGUAAGAGAAGAACGAGUGUGAGAGUGGAAAGUUCACAAUGUGACGGUAGCUUACCAGAAAGGGACGGCUAACUACGUG